rnacentral:piRNA from 1 species
GACAGUCACACUGCAGGAAGCUUGA